AGGACGAACGCUGGCGGCGUGCUUAACACAUGCAAGUCGAGCGGAAAGGCCCUUCGGGGUACUCGAGCGGCGAACGGGUGAGUAACACGUGAGCAACCUGCCCCUGGCUCUGGGAUAGCCUCCGGAAACGGGGAUUAAUACCGGACAUGACCCUUGACCGCAUGGUUGGGGGUGGAAAGUUUUUCGGCCAGGGUGGGGCUCGCGGCUAUCAGCUUGUUGGGGGGGUGACGGUCCACCAAGGCGACGACGGGUAGCC
rnacentral:rRNA from 1 species